GUAUUAACAAUGCGGCAACAAUACAAACUGAAGUGGGCUCGACAUGGCCAUCUGUGACCAUAUGAGACCACCUUGGAGCAGCAAACAGUGGGACAAGCUCAAAUGCACGGAAAGCAUCGCAGACAUCGACACAAAGAGGGUGCAGGGGAUGUCAUGCUCUCCCAAGGUAGACAUUAGUCCACUACAUUUUUCCAUAGAUUAUAGCUGUGCUCUGCUAUAUUAUUGAUAAGAAUAUGAAUUAUUUAGCUUGCUGUAAAGACCAAAAUCGCAAAUUACUAAUUUAUCUCAAAGGAGCUGCACAGUCUUUUCACAAGCAACCUUAUGUGCCCUGUAACUCUGUAACCAGUACUGGAAAAACUGCCCCCAAAAAACCUUCAGCGUUCAGAAAAAGAAGAAAUCUCAGGUAGAGACGCGGGAGGAUCCCUCUAUCGGGAUGGACAAGGUGUGAUAGACGUAAAUGGUGUUUCUGAAGUUAUUUUGUGAACUAGUUUCGGUAAUUAUUCUAGAAAUGAUUGUUGUAGCUAUACAAUUCUGCUUUCUCCCUUUAUUUGGGAGCUGUGGACCCUCCGGUCAUAAAUUCCAUUGUGGUGGAACCUCAAAAAGGUUCAAAUAUUUCACCUUUGGGCGGUUGGUGCUUGUGAAGAAUUCACUCUGUAGGUAUAGACUUCAUUACACAUCUUUCCACAUGCUGCAACGGAAAAUUACCAGCCAUCUACACAAGUCCUUAAAGAGAGGUGAAACCCUUGAUUCAAGUGUAACGUGUGUCAAGCUGACAUGCCAUUUAAAUGUCACUGCCUGUGUGUGGGUGCACAUACUCUCAUGUAGGGAUCUAUCACCUAUGAAAUGAUGGUGACGUGGCAUUAAAACUGUCCUCAUUACAUCAAACUUGUGUUGCCUGUCUCAAGAUGAGCCGAGUACAAUAGACGUAAGGGAAUUGUGCUCUAUAAUGCCGUCGGUUCGUGCCUCUGUGCGUGCGCAUUUUUGCACGUACACAAAACGACGUUGCCUGUAACUCCAUCCAUCAGCAUAAUUGCACAUCAAUCCUGUUAAUUCGUCAUUAUCAUUAACCUUGGCAAUCCCCCCCCCCUAAGAAGACAGCCAUCUGGUGAUUGUUUCAAAACUUGCCAUUUGAGUACACUAAAUAUACAUGCACACGCCAUUGAGUGUGAUAACCAAAACACGCACACAGUCUGUGCUGGCAUCCCAACAGCACAACAGAAGGGUAAAGGGUCCCUCUGAAGCCCUCUAAGUUGGGAGAUAAGUUGGGGGUGCACACGUCUCCCUCAGUUAAUGAACCCCUGCUGCUGAAUUCUUAUUAAUGGAUUAGUCCAUUAUGAUUAGUGCCCGAUGGCCGCAUUGCCCCUACCAAGCCUCCCAUUUGUCAUUUUACACACGGCAGCUAGCCUUCCCCAUUAUAUCACAUAAAUCAAUUGAUCGUGAAGUGCUGUUUAAUUGGAGAGUAAUUGAUUGAUCGCUUUAAUGCAUGAAUUAAAGACACUAUCGGGCUCCGGGUUCAGAUGAUGUACAGAUAAGCAGUUACUGACUGUAUGUGUGUUCCAACGGAAGAAGAAACUGAUCCGGCUGAAGAAAUCGUUUACUGAGGAGAUUUGUGAAAUGUCAAAGGACUGACAACAGAAUUCACAAACAGCAGAGAACAAUGAACGCUGCUCACAGACAGCAGCGUAAAUUGAGCAUUUCCUUCCCCAUGUCAAUUCAUGAAAGAGGUUGUGCUGGUGGUAUUCUCCCCCAAGAAGUGCUGCAGCUAACACAGUCGUUUUUAAAGCAUCCUGCUCCACUGCCAGAACUCCCUCCACACUCCACUUUCAUCCACCCUGGCAAAUUUUAACCUUCAAGAUGUUUGUUUCAGUGUUGUAUUUUUGGCACUUUUUGAUGACAUGUUCCAAGUCUUCAGUCUCGUUGCGAAUAUUGCACUUAUGUCAUCCCAUUUUUGCAUUUAAGGAGAGAAAACUCUUCCGUCUUCCUCCCUCUUAAACAAGGAGCAGCCAGGUUGGCCUGUACUGGUGGCAACCAUCCACCAGCUGGGCACCUGGAGGGAAAACCAGGGAGGAGGGGCGAGGCACCAUAAAAUAAUCCCAAAAGAAUAUAGUGAUGUUGCACAUAAAAUUAGAGCUGAUCAUGGUUGGCUAACAGUAGUGUUUACUUCAUGGAAAUGGCUUUAUUCUAUUGAUUCAAAUGAGGUGUUAAUUGACCAAUCCUUUACCGAGGACCUGCCUUGUGUAAUG
ensembl:lncRNA